UGCAGAAGGAUCAUUAUUUAAUCUAAAUGAGUGCACUUAAUUGUGGCUCAAACUUUACACUUUUCACCCCAAAACUUGUUUGUGUGGCAUUUAUGCCAUUGCACUCAGGUAUACGUAACAUUUCUUUGUUACAUUAUCCCCCUCCCAAUUUUUUUUUUUUAUAAACACAAGUUGAAUGUAAGAAUGUAAAACCUUUUAUUUGAAAAAUAACUUUUAACAAUGGAUCUCUAGGCUCUCAUAUCGAUGAAGAACACAGUGAAAUGUGAUAAGUAAUGUGAAUUGCAGAAUUCAGUGAAUCAUUGAAUCUUUGAACGCACCUUGCACCUUUUGGUAUUCCAAAAGGUACACCUGUUUGAGUGUCAUGAAAAUCUCUCAUCAAAUUUAUUUUUGGUGGAUGUUGAGUGCUGCUGUUAUCUAGCUCACUUUAAAUAUAUAAGUUCUUCCUUAUGUUGUUGGAUUGACUUGGUGUAAUAUUUAACUUUGUUUUCAUCAAGGAAAGUAGCAAUACUUGCCAAUAUAUUAAGUAAGGACUCCUAAAAAACAACUAUUUCAUUUUUUAAGACCUCAAAUCAGGUGGGACUACCUGCUGAACUUAAGCAUAUCAAUAAGCAGAGGAAAA
rnacentral:rRNA from 1 species